CACGGGGGGAGCAAGCGUUGUUCGGAUUUACUGGGCGUAAAGGGCGCGUAGGCGGUCAGCACAAGUCAGUUGUGAAAUCUCCGGGCUUAACUCGGAAAGGUCAACUGAUACUGUGCGACUAGAGUGCAGAAGGGGCAACUGGAAUUCUCGGUGUAGCGGUGAAAUGCGUAGAUAUCGAGAGGAACACCUGCGGCGAAGGCAGGUUGCUGGGCUGACACUGACGCUGAUGCGCGAAAGCCAGGGGAGCGAACGGG
rnacentral:rRNA from 1 species